UAGGCGUAAAUGAUGCGAGUUAAGUGUGGGGGCAUCUACGAGAUGGCCCUGUGCUGUAGGGUAGCCGUUAAACUCGCUGCCUGGGGAGUACGGUCGCAAGGCUGAAACUUAAAGGAAUUGGCGGGGGAGCACUACAACGGGUGGAGCCUGCGGUUUAAUUGGACUCAACGCCGGAAAACUCACCGGGGGCGACAGCAAUAUGUAGGCCAAGCUAAAGACUUUACCAGAAUCGCUGAGAGGAGGUGCAUGGCGUAGUCGUGU
rnacentral:rRNA from 1 species